AGACACAGUCAUCUUGUGUGUGAACAGUGAGGUCUUGGGUUCAAACUCCACUGCUCCCCUCCACAACUCCCCAAGUAAAAAAAAAUAAAAAACAAACCGACUCAUAUAAAUUACCAAUUCCAGCAAGUAUAAAAAUCAUUGCUUAAUCUCACUUAUUUUUCCAAUGACAGUAUCUCAUUAAAUAAUUUAAAAAGUACAAGUGAUUACACUUAAAAGAAAAUGAAUAGCAAAACAAAACAACCAAAACCCCC
rnacentral:lncRNA from 1 species